GUGGCAUCCAAAGCGCGGCCCGGACCGCGGGCCUCCCCGCCCUCCCUGACGCUUCCUGCUUCCUUCCGUCCGUCAGCCCUUUUCUCCUUUCUCAGCCACUACUUUCUCCCCGCUCCCAAUCCCUCUUUCCGCCUUCUAUACAGUUUGUUAAACGCCUGUUAUGUGUAAGGAUGGUGCUGCUCGAAGAAUUGAGACUGGAGAGUAGAGACAAAAAUCCCUGCCCUCGUGGAGCUUCCGUUCUAGUGGGGGAAACACGGCAAAUAAAAUCAGCAGCUACGUGAGACAGAAAGCGGAAGUGCCAGCUCGCUGCUGCUUUGGCCCAGCUCUAGAUAACCUCGUCGUCUUUUAGCAGUUCUCUUGCCCCAGGCCGGUGGAGGGGGCGCUCCUGGAGCUCUAGGAAGACGCACGGAUCGAGCGAGGUCCGGAAACAGUGAAUGAGGAACUCUGCGACUCCCUAGGGCCUGUUUCUUCACUCCUAAAUAAAAUCGACGGCUCCGUGGCAGAGCGUGCUCGGCAUGUGCAAGGCCCCGAGUUCCAUCUCUUUCAAUCUCUCUCAAUCUAUUGCUCAAUCUUCCUUGCCAAAUAAAUGCAAUUGGCUUUGUAAAAUUUACAACAUGAGAUACUGUGGCUGAAGCCCUCCAAAAAAUCUUCUGAAGGCUGCCCAAGCCUUAGAGAACGCCUCUGCGCCUGGCCUCCUUAC
rnacentral:lncRNA from 1 species